GUUGUAUGGUUAAGUGACUAAGCGUACAGGGCGGAUGCCUUGGCAAUCAGAGGCGAAGAAGGACGUGCUAAUCUGCGAAAAGCUUGGAUGAGUCGAUAAGAGGCGUUUAAUCCAAGAUGUCCGAAUGGGGAAACCCGAUGGAUGAAGAAUCCAUCAUUUCAUUGUGAAUACAUAGCAAUGAAAGGCGAACCGGGAGAACUGAAACAUCUAAGUACCCCGAGGAAAAGAAAUCAACCGAGAUUCUGUGAGUAGCGGCGAGCGAAAGCGGAAGAGCCAGUAAGUUUUAGCUAGUGUAUUAGAGGAAUUGGCUGGGAAGCCAAAUCAAAGAGGGUGAUAAUCCCGUACUCGAAAAUACGAUAGUGGAACUAAGCUUACGAUAAGUAGGGCGGGACACGAGAAAUCCUGUUUGAAGAUGGGGGGACCAUCCUCCAAGGCUAAAUACUCCUGAUUGACCGAUAGUGAACCAGUACUGUGAAGGAAAGGCGAAAAGAACCCCGGUGAGGGGAGUGAAAUAGAACCUGAAACCCUGUACGUACAAGCAGUAGGAGCCUGAAAGGGUGACUGCGUACCUUUUGUAUAAUGGGUCAGCGACUUAUAUUUUGUAGCGAGGUUAACUGAAUAAGGGAGCCGAAGGGAAACCGAGUCUUAACUGGGCGUUGAGUUGCAAGGUAUAGACCCGAAACCCGGUGAUCUAGCCAUGGGCAGGUUGAAGGUUGGGUAACACUAACUGGAGGACCGAACCGACUAAUGUUGAAAAAUUAGCGGAUGACUUGUGGCUGGGGGUGAAAGGCCAAUCAAACCGGGAGAUAGCUGGUUCUCCCCGAAAUCUAUUUAGGUAGAGCCUUGAGCGGACACCUUCGGGGGUAGAGCACUGUUUCGGCUAGGGGUCCAUCCCGGAUUACCAACCCGAUGCAAACUGCGAAUACCGAAGAGUGAUACUCAGGAGACACACGGCGGGUGCUAACGUUCGUCGUGGAGAGGGAAACAACCCAGACCGCCAGCUAAGGUCCCAAAGUCUAUAUUAAGUGGGAAACGAAGUGGGAAGGCUUAGACAGCUAGGAUGUUGGCUUAGAAGCAGCCAUCAUUUAAAGAAAGCGUAAUAGCUCACUAGUCGAGUCGGCCUGCGCGGAAGAUGUAACGGGGCUCAAAUAUAGCACCGAAGCUGCGGCAUCAGAAUUUAUUCUGUUGGGUAGGGGAGCGUUGUGUAAGCGGAAGAAGGUGGCUCGAGAGGGCUGCUGGACGUAUCACAAGUGCGAAUGCUGACAUAAGUAACGAUAAAACGAGUGAAAAACUCGUUCGCCGGAAGACCAAGGGUUCCUGUCCAACGUUAAUCGGGGCAGGGUGAGUCGGCCCCUAAGGCGAGGCUGAAAAGCGUAGUCGAUGGGAAACGGGUUAAUAUUCCCGUACUUGGUAAAGCUGCGAUGUGGGGACGGAGAAGGUUAGGUAAGCGGACUGUUGGAAAUGUCCGUUUAAGUUGGUAGUUGGGAGCGGUAGGCAAAUCCGCUGCUCCAUUCAACAACGAGAGAUGAUGACGAGGCUCUACGGAGCUGAAGUUACCGAUACCCGGCUUCCAGGAAAAGCCACUAAGCGAAAGGCUUUAUUAAACCGUACUGAAAACCGACACAGGUGGUCAGGUAGAGAAUACUCAGGCGCUUGAGAGAACUCGGGUGAAGGAACUAGGCAAAAUAGCACCGUAACUUCGGGAGAAGGUGCGCUUACAGUAAUUGUAGUCCCUUGCGGAUGAAGGUGAAGUAAGUCGAAGAUACCAGCUGGCUGCAACUGUUUAUUAAAAACACAGCACUCUGCAAACACGAAAGUGGACGUAUAGGGUGUGAUGCCUGCCCGGUGCUGGAAGGUUAAUUGAUGGUGUUAUCGAAAGAGAAGCUCCUGAUCGAAGCCCCAGUAAACGGCGGCCGUAACUAUAACGGUCCUAAGGUAGCGAAAUUCCUUGUCGGGUAAGUUCCGACCUGCACGAAUGGCAUAAUGAUGGCCAGGCUGUCUCCACCCGAGACUCAGUGAAAUUGAAAUCGCCGUGAAGAUGCGGUGUACCCGCGGCUAGACGGAAAGACCCCGUGAACCUUUACUAUAGCUUGACACUGAACAUUGAAUUUUGAUGUGUAGGAUAGGUGGGAGCCUUUGAAGCAGUGACGCCAGUCAUUGUGGAGGCGACCUUGAAAUACCACCCUUUAACGUUUGAUGUUCUAACGAAGUGCCUGAAACGGGUACUCGGACAGUGUCUGGUGGGUAGUUUGACUGGGGCGGUCUCCUCCCAAAGCGUAACGGAGGAGCACGAAGGUUUGCUAAUGACGGUCGGACAUCGUCAGGUUAGUGCAAUGGUAUAAGCAAGCUUAACUGCGAGACGGACAAGUCGAGCAGGUGCGAAAGCAGGUCAUAGUGAUCCGGUGGUUCUGAAUGGAAGGGCCAUCGCUCAACGGAUAAAAGGUACUCCGGGGAUAACAGGCUGAUACCGCCCAAGAGUUCAUAUCGACGGCGGUGUUUGGCACCUCGAUGUCGGCUCAUCACAUCCUGGGGCUGAAGUAGGUCCCAAGGGUAUGGCUGUUCGCCAUUUAAAGUGGUACGCGAGCUGGGUUUAGAACGUCGUGAGACAGUUCGGUCCCUAUCUGCCGUGGGCGUUGGAUGAUUGAUUGGGGCUGCUCCUAGUACGAGAGGACCGGAGUGGACGCAUCACUGGUGUUCCAGUUGUCUCGCCAGAGGCAUUGCUGGGUAGCUAAAUGCGGAAGAGAUAAGUGCUGAAAGCAUCUAAGCACGAAACUUGCCAAGAGAUGAGUCAUCCCUGACUUUAAGUCAGUAAGGGUUGUUUAAGACUAAGACGUAGAUAGGUUGGGUGUGUAAGUGUAGUGAUACAUUGAGCUAACCAAUACUAAUUGCCCGAGAGGCUUAACCAUACAACGCUCAAG
rnacentral:rRNA from 1 species